AUUGAACGCUGGCGCCAUGCUUAACACAUGCAAGUCGAACGGUAACAGGUCUAGCUUGCUAGAUGCUGACGAGUGGCGGACGGGUGAGUAACGCGUGGGAAUCUGCCUUCUAGUGGGGGAUAGCCCGGAGAAAUCCGGAUUAAUACCGCAUACGCCCUACGGGGAAAGCCGGGGAUCUUCGGACCUGGCGCUAGUAGAUGAGCCCGCGUGAGAUUAGCUUGUUGGUGGGGUAAUGGCCUACCAAGGCAACGAUCUCUAGCUGGUCUGAGAGGACGAUCAGCCACACUGGGACUGAGACACGGCCCAGACUCCUACGGGAGGCAGCAGUGGGGAAUAUUGGACAAUGGGCGAAAGCCUGAUCCAGCAAUGCCGCGUGUGUGAAGAAGGCCUGAGGGUUGUAAAGCACUUUCAAUCGUGAAGAAAAGUUGCAGGCUAAUACCCUGUGACCUUGACGUUAACGAUACAAGAAGCACCGGCUAACU
rnacentral:rRNA from 1 species